rnacentral:lncRNA from 1 species
CAGUAAGUGCCAGUAAAAUGAAUAUUAAACUUUAAGGGCGCGAGAAGAAAACCCAAACCGGAGCGGAGGUCAGCGCACACCGCCGCCGGUGCAUAACCGUUCACAAAAGUACACUUAUCGCACACAGUAACGUCAGGUAGGCCUAUAUUAUUCAAUAAUGACUACGAUCCAAAGUAUACAAGGGAUUUAUGAAGUUAUUGUGAGGUAACUUUGCAGCGUGGGGACUUUUUUUUAUCGGUGAACUCGGGACAGCUGGCGGACAUUACGGAACCUUGUUGUUGUGAACCGCCGCGUUCACCUCACAUGAACUUUGCCAGUGUGUGACAGUGCCGCAGCGGUCCGUGUGGACUAUGAACGCAGCUUAUACUUUAUACGCAUAAAUGUGUACAUAUUUAUCUUUGGUGAGAGGAUGUAGAGGCGAGCCGCCCAGAAGAAGUCCGUUUAUAGCGGCUCCUCGUUUUCCUCCGUGAAGCUGGACUCGGGGCGGUUCGGGCGGCGAACCUCCUGACUCCGCAAACUUUGCGGGCUCAUUUUUUUUCCCCAAAACUCGCUUUUGUUCCGCGGUUCUCUUCCAAACAUCAGGCAGGGAAACAGAAGGAAGCCGCUUCCAUGUUGAAUAAUAACAAUAAUAGGGAUAAAAAGCGAUAAAACUCCAUUUUGGGCGUGUGAAGAGAGAACAAGAAGGGCGGACGGACUGAUGCCCCGGUUCGUCACUCAGUGUCGACGGAGUUCGGCUUCUCGCUGCUCUCUCCACCUCUCUCCCUCCUGCCAGCCGUCCUUUAUUUAUUUCAACGCGAAAACUGAGGCGGAAAAACACGUUUCUGGAAGUUUUCUUUGGAGAAAUGUGGACAAGCGGUGUAAAACACGGUUCAUAUAUUUAUGAGUGAAUAUACCUGUAAUUUUAAGAAGACAUUGAAUCAACAAUUCAAGACAGAUUCACAUUCCUCCUGUAAGUACACAUUAAAUUUUUUCUAGUUUCAAGGAGCUUUUCAGUUUUUCUUC